UAAGAAUCGCUGCUUGUAGGAUUACUACCUCCUGAUUCCAACCUGUGGGAGAUACGUUAAAGUCCACGUUGCGGCUGUGAGCCUGUGAUGAGGAUUUCUACGUCUUCCAGCAGUUGAGCUCUGAGAGUCGAUGGUGGCCUCAUUUCCAGGAGUGGCAUACUUGCAGAUGUUUCCCACAGACCGCCAAGUAGGAAGCUGAUGAAUGACACCGAUUUCUGCCUGCCAGGAGCAACUAAAAGCAAGUAUCACAGUCUGCUGUUUAUCAUUUUUUUAAGGCAUGUUAAGAUUUGUGUUAUCAAUUGGUUUUGGGGUGAACUUUAAUAAAAAAGUAUCUAGGUGAUGAGUGAUCCGGUAGACAUGAGGGGAGACGAUGUGCCUAGAUCCAGAUAUCCGAGAAAGCAGGACUUCCAAGUUAGUCCUUGAUCGU